GCGAGCGCCCUUUGUAUGCAAGCCAGGAACCGGUUGCCUUGACAGUCAGUGAAAGUCAGAUCAAAAGGCUGUUUGAAAACCCGGGCUUUUAGAAGCAAAGAUGGGAAACAACAUCUUUCUUUUCUAGCUCUGGAGUUGGGAGAUAGAGGAAACAAUAGCUAUUGUAUAGACAGAGAGUUAUUUGAAUUCUCCCUGCUACCGCUAUACACCUGAUCAAACAGGCGGUGGUUGAAAGGCUGAGGUACCAUCAGGCUUCCUGCCUGAUAUGAGCAUGAUAAAAAUUGUUGCAGCUGAAACAUCUAAGAGCACAACGCUUAGAACAAACCAGAUCCCAGGGAGGAAAAGUGAGGCAACACAAAAAGAGUCAUAAGUUGGGACCCUGUCAUUCUGGCCUGCGCAGGCUUCAGAGGAAAACCAAGGGGAGGAGGGAAAAUGGCUUUUCUCCAAAUAUACCUUGGAUAGGCUGUGCACAAGCACUAAAAAAGACAUACUUCCAACACCACCUUUUCUUUAAUACAGUCUUAUCCCACUACACUAGUACAUCAAGCCCUUGUACUCCCCUCCUGUUAAAAAGCCCCUCUCAGUCCAGGAUUCUACUCUUCUACCUGCUACCUGGGAUCCCUAACAUACCCCAGCCUUCCUCCCUUGCUUCAGCAGCUGAGGUGUCUUAGCUCACCUCUCUCCACUUCACCCUUCUUUUUCCCACAUUAGUACAUGUUUCCUACUUUUUCUGCCUCAUACCUUCUCCUGCAGCCAGACUCAGGGUGCAGCCGCAGUGUCGAUGGCCACCGUAGGGUGGAGAACAGGGGUCCAUCAACUGUUGGCCUGCAUGCAGGGGCACACCAAGCAACUUGACACAGCACUUGCCACCAAAGUGUAUGCUAAACCCUAGGAACCAACCUUGGAGAUAUUAAAAACCCGACUGGACAGGGUCCUGGGAAACCUGCUGUAGGUGACCCUGCUAGGUGACCCUGGGCUUGGACUGGACAAUCUCCUGAGGUCCCUUCCCACCUCAACCUUUCUGUGAGUAUAAGCACUGAGCUCCAUGAUGGGAGAGGCAAGUGGAGGGAAAUGAAACCAACAACUGCCCUGUUCAGAGUCGUGAAGGUGGAGUUUGAACCGCAUCACCGAGUGCCAGGCCUUUCCUUUAACCACUGGAGCACAUUCGCUGUCUAAACAAAGUCUCUGUGCAAACCUUGGUAUAUUUUCCCUCUGAGAAAGGGCAGACAGGAGAAAAUAUUACCUUCCCUGAGACACUUGGCCAAGGACAGCCCCCAGCGACCUAGGCUGCUGGGCAGCAGGAGAGAGGUGCAGGGGGACUGCUGGCUGGGGCAUGAGAAAUCAUGUGAACUGAUGGAGGGAUGGGAAACGGCAAGGACAUGCAUGGGGACAGGUGAAAAGCUGAAAGCAAAAUUCCAGUUCAGCCAGCACGUACAAUCCUGACAGCUCUGGACAACAAAAUGAAAAGGCGCAGGGAGGUGGUUUUUUUUUUUUUCCUCCCUCCAAACAGAGAGCAUUUAUGCCACUGUUGGAGGAGAAGCAUCAUGUCCUCUUGCACCACCCCUCAGGACGGAGGGCUCCUUGGAAGGCAGGUCUCUUUUACUAAAGUUUUGGGAGCCUGGUGACUGUAGGCGAGCUCAGGUCUGUCGGAUAGACUUUCUCGGGCCCGUCCUGGGCUGGGCACGUAUUGCGCGUUGCCUGUGCUCUCCAGGGCACGAACCCGGCGAUGCUUUCCCUCGCCCGUGGGCGAUCCCCUUCAGUGAGCUCCGGGCAUCUCCUCUGUGCCGGGGGGGGGGACACCAGGGACAGCACUGGCUCUAAAACGUGAGGAUCAACUCCCUGCCCCUUCCCCUUGCUGUUAAUGCAGAAGUGGAAACGCACAGAGCUGGUAUCUUCUGGUUUACCACGAGAUGGUGGUAAAUGCUAGCGCUGGGCCGGUGCUCCGGCUCCCCUUCCCUUCCCUCAGGAAAACCACACCGGAGUGACAGAUUUAGGCUGGGCACCCGCAAAUGCUGGCUGGCAGCGCGCUCUAUUUUCAUUGUAGCCUAAUUUUCUCUCCUUCCGACUCCUUUACCUUUUUCUGUUACCGUCCCUACCCCGGGUGUUCAGACUUAGGCUCCCCAUUCCCCCCGGCCUGCCGUUCUCCCUGCUACUAGAGCCAGGGCUCCGCUGCAGAGGCCCCUGCCAGCCUCGUUUCGCGCUCUCGCUGCCUCGCACCGCGCAGGGAAGAAAAGAUGCCAGCUCUCACCAGGGGCCACACCUGGGGUUUGCUGGGGGCAAAGCAGGAUUAUCUGCAAAGGGCAGGCAGCGGGUCCAUCUCACAGCCCGGACUCCCCAGCGCUCUGGCACAGGACUCCGGAGGGAAUAUCCGUCUUACGGCUACCUGAAGGACGUCAGCUGAACUGCAUUCAGAGGAGAUGGAACAUGCAACAUGAGGAGAUAGUUUGGAAAAGCAGACUUGGAGCAGACAAAAUGAACCCUAGCAGAGAGCUGGGGGGUCCCAAAGUGUGUGGAGACUUGGGGGGAAAUCAGAGGACGGAGAGGAGACUGAGGCACGGCAAAGCACGGAGUCUGGCAAGGCAACCGGGAAACGGCACGCAGGGAAAGGAUGUGCGGGACCUUAUUGCAGCCUCUUUGCACAUUAUUCUGAGUUCACUUAGGAACACUUGAGCUCACCCAGAAGGCCUUCCAACACCUUACUGACUGUACGUUAAAAAACCCUGGUUACGAAGACAGAAUCAUACAUUUCCUCCUGAUCCCGUUAUGGUGAAUGUUAUAAAAAAAUAUCCAAAACUUCACAAAACAAAGUGCUCGUUGAACAUCCCCAAAAUGCAAGGAAGGGCAUUACCAUCGUAUUACAAACACAAAACCAGAGUCUGGAAGUAUUUCCUGAUUAUUUGAUCCAAGAAGUACAUUUGGUCUACCAGGAGACUGCUGUAUAGUUGUGUGUGGAAGUACUUUAUAUGUUCCUGUUGCCUUCUACAGCAGAUGCAAGCCCUAAAUUCUUCUGCAAACUAGCCUUAAUUUAAGUCAGGCAUCUAAUGAGUAAGGGAUGCAAAACUGAUAACUGCAUGUGGAAGAAUUUGGCCUGAGCUGAGGAAGAAGGGAGAGGUGAGAACCUGCAGCCUGGCAGAUCCUUAUCCAAUUAUUCUACGGUAUCAUUUGAUAUCAAAGUUACUCCAAACUUUGAGGGUUUGGGAGCACUCCUUCCUUUCCAGGAUCUCAUACGAUUUGGAGAGGGUUUUUCUUCUAAAGCUUCAAAUUUGUCCUACUGAAAAAAAAAGAAAGAAAUGCGAAGUCUCUAUUUACUUCAGCUGAGCCUGGUCUGGCACCUGGAGACGCUGCCUCUGCCAGCAGUGCUGCCAGUGCCCACCGCUUGCUCUGAGAUUCCCUGUUCAAACAGGCACUUUGUCAUCUCACCGUGACCGCCGCUCCACCAUUUGGUUGAGUUCCCAUUCCCAGCUUCUGCAGGGCUUGUUGAUGGGUAACCUAAGUUUUAUCACUAUGACCAGCAUUCUUAGUGAUGGUACGUGUCCCUGCUCACACCUUUGCUUUUAUACAUGUUGCGCGGCCAAGAAUAAUUGUUAGUUUUAAACGGGCUCCGAAAGCAGCAGCUGGCUUUCCAAAAGGACGCAGAGGACGAGCUAGCGACAGCAGCCGCUUGGCAUUUCCAACCCUGUGGUGCAAAAGGCGAUGUGUUUUAAACAUUGUGACUUCUUGAAUCUCUUGUUAUCUUGUCACAGAACGGGAAUACAAUUGACAGUAUCAGGAUAUGUACACACAAUCUCUUAUUACUGUUUAAACAUAUAAAACAAUAACAUAUCCUGUGCUGGCAGGAGUACUAUUAGCUAUGCAAAAUUAUUUGUCAGCUCUUUGGAAUACCUUUCCUUUUCUGGACAAUAAAAACACCAUUUCUUCA